UAUCAUGAAACAGUAAAUCAAGUCUUCUGAAACAUGGAGUCAGAUCCUCAUCUCUUCCCCAGUCCAGGAACCCCGGUGAACACCCUCACUCCCCUCCACCUGCAAGCCCUGGGUAAUGUGCUGCUCAUCUGUGCAUGACUGGGAGCCCAGAGUCCUCUACAAUGUCCUGGUUCUGUGACCAGAAAGUGGCACACAAAGUGCACACUGACAGGGCACGGAAAACAUGGAGCCAAAGCCAAGAACCACAGGAAACAUGGAGACGUGGCACCAAAAUGGCACUAAACAAACACCACUUCAGCAACUGGGCUUGCAUUGCAGCAAAAAACCUUCCCAGCCAAUGGCAAGAUUUGAGAAGUGAGCAAUUUGUGUUAUGAAACAUGUGUAAAGAGGCAAAAUAUUUCAAAAAUAUGAACAUAAGGUUCUUGUCUUUAAACACACAUCCUACAUGUAAGGAAAAUCCUUUCCCUAAACCCUGCAAUGAGAUCCCAAGAUAAAAAUCAAGGCAUUUCAAAAUAAACAGUGUCCUCAAGCAUCUUUUUGUCAUAUAUUUAAUUCAGUAUCCAAAGUUUUGAAGGGAGGUUUGAUUCCUAACUAGUGACAUUUCCAUCAAAAUAAAGUGUGUUAGUUAAGACAUUUUCCCUGCAGCACCAAAGUAUGUUUUACUGACAUUUUUGAAGCAUUCAGAAAAAAAAAUGACACUUAUUUCUCCCCAUGCUGUACAAAUAAACAGUGUCCCCAUAUUUCAGCACUAUUAAUGUAACACAAUCAAAAGCAGGUCAAAACCAAGCCCUACUGCCUUUAAAACUUUACAUUAAAUAUUUGGUUUCAGACAAAUCAGCUCAGAAUAACACUGGCAAAGAAACAAUCCUGCAAUAUUACCCCUGGACAUUUUUUAUUUAGAUAUAACUUCUAUCUGUCAGGGAAUUCAUGCAUUGUUAUUCAUGUUCCAUUCUUCUUUCUGACAAAGCAAUUUAUGAGCUUGCCAUCUAAAUAAUAUAGAGUUUGUUGCAGACAGAGCUAAACAUGUUUCUAGUUUUCAAGUGGUGAUAGCUAUUAAGCAGCUGAUUAGUGUAUUUUUUAACAAAUGAUUUUUUUCAGUAGUUCAAGUACACUUUUUAUUAUUUGAACCAUUAUAGUUUCAUUUUCCAAUGAGCUUGUAAAGGAAGUUUAGAAUUUCCUGGUUAUUUUUGUAAUAUCACUCCCAAAAAGGCCAAGUUAAUAUUUUCUCUUUAAAUGACUGUAUUUAUUAAUAUAAAACACCAAAGGUUUUUAUAAUAGCAACUGUCUAGGCAAUAGAGAGACUAAGAUACAAUAAUUUAACUCCUACUAUAAUGGUCAGCCAAGAUAAAACCAUCCAGCUCAUGAAUCUCUAACGGCCCCAGGCUUUUGCCUCCCAUACACCUGCUGCCUGGUUGGUGUCAACUGGAAACCCAACCAGAGCAGAACAGGAAUUCCCUUUCCUGUGUCAGUCCCUGAGGAUACAUUUGAUCAUUUUUGAUUCAUUUUGAUCUAAUGGGUGUGCUGGGGGGAGCACUGCACUGUGGCAAGAUGUGACAGUAGGGCUGCAGAGGGGCAGUGUAAAUUGUGGAAUUAGUAUGCUGAGCGUUCACUUUCUUUGCUCAUUAUUUGUGCCAACAGCAUCUCAGAGCAAGUGAUGUAGAAAUGCAGCAUUGGACAGUGAGUGAGGACAUAGAGAUGAAUAUUUCUCUCUGGAAUCACACACUACUCAGAAAAAUAAUCUUGCAGAUCUUAUAAUUAUUAAAAAAAAAAAAACAAAUUGAAUUCCCUAAAUGAACAAGGAAGCUCUCCAAGCUGGACUAAGAGAAACAUUGGUAAAAUUUGUUUCUGAGCACCACAAGAAUAAUUCAGUCUUCCACAAGUGGUGGAACGAAGGCUUUUGUAGGGAAUAGAAAACACUGAUAUUCAACUACUGGGAAUAAUAGACAAUGGUGGCUUCACAGGAUACAAGAUUUUGGGGAAAAAAGAAAGAAGGCUGGAAGAAAAGGCUCUCCAGGAGAAGAGAUGGGCCCAGAGGGAGCCAAGAAGAAAAAAGUCGGAAGCAUAUAGAAGAGGCAUGGACACAGUGGAGUACCAGGAGGGCUGAGAGAAAAAGGAGAUGAAGAUCAGUGACGUCAAAGAGGCAGAGAAGAAAUGGACCAAAACUGUCAGAGAUGGAAAGCACCAAUGUGCCUGGGGAGCAGGGAGACAGGCUGGCUGGUACAGGGUUAAUUGGAGCCACACAAUGGAGUAUUUUCAAAACCAGGGGGAUCAGCUCCUGCAGAGGGCAAUUCCAGCACCUGGUGGAUGAAUGUUCUCUCAGGGGUCAGCAAGACAGGUGAUUUUAACCAGUGAGAGUCCUGAUACCCAUCAAGGCCUAAUUAAAUGAAAUCAAGAGAAGGUAGCUCAAAUCAGCAGGUUCUUCCCUGUAGUGUGAGCAGGACUGUGUCCAAAGGAAAUAGGUGAAAGUCCUAAUGCUGAGGGCACUUAUAAAUAGCCUGUAUGAGGCAUUAGAAAAUGUGCUGUAAGGCAUAAUCCUGCCAACUGGCAAUAGUAUAGAUCACAUGACCAAGAAGGUCUUUCCCAUAUGUUUUUUUAUGAUUUUGCAGUUGGUGCAGAGGUGAUGAAAGGCAGGAAAAAAAAAAAAAAAAGAAACCAUCACAGACGAGAGGAGUUGGGAACAAUGGUUCUGCAAGUGCUAAAAAAAGGUGCUAGAAAAGGUUAUGCAAAGCUUAAGUACAAGAAACUACUGAUGUACAUGUGUUUGUACAGCUGCACACCACAUCAGGGUCCUGGCUUAGCCCCAUAGCUGGUACUGACAUCCAUACCAAUAAAAUUUGUACUGCAGACUGUCUUUCUUGUCUUAAUUAACAUUCUGUCUUUGGGAGCUUUAUCUGAGAGAAGUUAGGAUGAAAUCCCAAUUCUGUGUCUUCAAGAGAAGCCAGGAAUUGGAGCAUUACAGAUAAAUACAUCUUUCCUUGGAUGCCACGAGCUGCUGGCAUCCAUGUGAGACUUGGCCAACAUUCCUGAUCUGAUCUCCACCGUGCACAUUCCUCUCUGCUGUGUAACCUGCCAGGGUUUGGUACUCAAGUCAGAUAUGCCACGACAGCAACCAGGUUGCCUGAUUAAUCUGACCUCUCAAGGGGGUUUUCAGAAAGAAAAGGGAACAUAUUUGUCUUCAGAAAGGCAAAGCAGGCUGUUGGAGGUCUUUCAGAAAUGCAACCAUCUUGCAAAAGCAUCCCUCUGUCACCUUGACUCAAGGCAAGAGAUACACUCAGCCCUAGAUGUGAAAGGUUCCUGCUCCAUUUGUGUGCAUGAGCCACAUCUGCACAUCCUUAAUUGCCCAAGUUGGGAGAAGCUGAUGCAAUUCCUGCCUAAUUCACCACUGUAAAAUUGGCAGCACGCAGAAGCAAAAUAUCUUGGAGAAAUUCUGAAUUUCCACUUCCCAAAAAGCACUUGUGCAUGAAGAAUCUUGGAGAAGCAGAAGGAAUUUAAUGAGUUAGCAUUUCAAAUGCAUGCCACAGGAUUCAAAGGGAGCAGACAGACAAAUAAUUUAACUUGAAGACAUUUUUUUUUCUAAUACAAAGAUUUUCUUUAAACGGAUCUGACUCCUUAGACAAGCUGUCACUAAAUUCACAGGGGUUUUUUUUUGUUGCUUGGAAGAGAACUAAAACCUAGAUUUACUAAAAGACUCAAGGGAUGUAAUGACACAAUUUUAGGUUUGGAACCCCCCAGAUGAAAGGAAACCCUAGAGAGAAAUGUAUAUGCAAGGAAAAAAAAGUAGAUUUAGAGAAGUGGACAUCUCAAAAAGGCUACCUUAGGCUAACCAAAUAUCCUCCCACUCCUUUGUUCUCCUUAUGGCCCUGACAGACAUAUGUUUCUUCCUCCAGUUUGGCACAGAUUCAGCAUAUUCAAAUGUUCUUCUCUUGCAGCAUUCACAGAGAAAGGAGCAAUGAUGGAGGUUUGUAAAACCUCUCCCUGUGAGGAGCAUGUUGGAUAUUCUCUAGGAAUAAAUACCAGAUCAAUCUUGGAGGCUGUAGGUACAAUUCAUCCCAGUUUCUGCCUCCCAGCAGGAUUACAGACAGGCCUGUUCUCUGAGUUUGAUCCAGAAAAGACACCAGACAUGGAAGAAAGGGGUGAUAAACCAGCAGCUGUGCCAUUCUGCUAACCCACAGCAUUAGCACACAGGGCACAAAGCAGCUCUGGGGGUGAGGGAGCACUGCCACUCCCCCACCCUGUGCACUGUGUCCAGUACAAAUUAAGUGACAAGAGAGUAUCUGUGAUAUCUGGUUUCACUUAAAGCCCUUAAAGCAGAGACAACACCCAUUAAGGCUUACAGUAAAUUUCUGAGAUGAAAUUUCUUGUCAGUGUUUUAGGGCUGAGGCCAGUGGAGCUGAGGGAUUUGCUCAUGUAGGUCCGUCCUGGGGGCAGGAGGGUGCACAGGCUUUUUGUCCUUUGGCCUUUUGUUUUACAGGGCAAUGACUCUGGGAAGGCUCAGCAGAAUUAGAAGGAAAUGAAACAUCAGGAGAGGUGCCACUUGCUAAUUUUGGAAGCAACAAGGCCCCAAACCAGGGCUGUUCAUCUGAUCUGGUGCCCAGCUGCUUGUUUAAAAUAGGCAGCUAAUGGAAUAAGAACUAAACCACAUGGAUAGCAAAAAUUCCUUAAGAAAUAACAUUCCUUCUUCUUAAGUCAUUGCUAUACAUGUCACUGGAGUUUGUGUGUGUGUGCUCAAGAAAUUGUGUUUCUUAUACCACAAUUGUUCCAUGUUUGCACCACAGUCUGAGGAGAACCCCAAGUGCUGUUUCUUAUUCUAUAGGUUCUCAGGUUAUUUAUUCUAGCCAAAAGCCACAGUUACUGCAGGCACAGAGAACACUUUAUAUCCUCCAUAAAAUCAUUUGACAAUCCAAGGAAAACUUCCCUGAGACUGUUGUGAAGAUCCCAGUGCAAUUAACUGUAUUUAGUGGGUACUUCAUCUCAGUAAGGACUGCAGGGACUGACAAUACCUGAGCAUUGAAAUUAUCCAUAAGCCUAGAAACAAACAUUUGAGGAAGAAAACCAACUGUAAACACAGAUCAGCAUCACCACUUGAGGGUGCUGCAGUAGUUCUUAAAUAUCAGCUCAAAGAUGUGCUGCCGAGCAGGCACUGUACACAGAGCUAUGCCACAAUAAUUCACCUAAUUACCUCCUUGGAGGCACUCAGAGAAUUUGGAGAUAAAUUAGCACAAAAUACUGCUGAACAGGAGAGCCUCUUCUGAAAUAGGGGUUUAAAAUCCUAAAAACCUUCCUAACUAACUGCAGUGAUAAACCAGGAUUCUCCUUCAAAAGAGCUGGGAAAAGGAAAAAUUAAGUCAAACAUAAGAGGACCCUCAAUUACACAAGCACAUGCAUUUCCAACUUCAAGAAAUUCAUUACAAGUAUAAAUUCUCAGCUCUGCACACACAUUUCCUUUGACUGUAAUACAAGUGAGUAUUUUUCAAGGCAUAUCAAAUUGAUUUUGCUAUAAACUAUUGCAGGAUUAUAGCCUCUUUGAAUAGUCUUCACUACAGGAAACACACAGAACUGGUCUUUGUGGGAAAUAUAUUGAAUAGCCAGUAAAACACAAAGCAAUAUCAAAAUACAGUAGAAAAUGUUCCAAAAAAGCCACAGCAACCUAAAUGAAGAGCCUGUGUCAAACAUAAUCUAGGAUUUUCCUAUUAUGUAGAAACUCCUUUCUAUAAUAAUAAUAAAAAAUGUUAUUUGCUUGUGAGGAUAUAAAAACAUGAAAAAAUGAUAAAUGAUGAUAAUGAUGUAUCUUUUGAAAUGGAUGAAAUAAUUUUGUAUGUCAAAGCAUAGUGACUGAAAUGAGAUCUCAUUUGUAAAGUUUCUCCAAUUCCAGUUUUUUAAUCUGACUCUUAUCAGGUACUCAAGAGAGCUGGUCAGGAACUGUUCCAUGAUACUUUUGGGAAAUGCUGACCCAUCCAAGUUAAAACUGUUGGUGGUAAAACAGCUAGUUUAAAAGAAAAUUCCCUGUUCAAAGACAUUGGUGGAGAGGGAUAUGUUGCUUAAGGUCACCUCAUCUCCUGAAGUAUGAAGCCGUAAGACUAUGAAAACAUAAAGGAGAUUUAUUUCUCUUUGUGUGCAUGAUCUUCUCUGCUGAAAGAAGUAUGGGAAUGACUACAAGGUUCAUCAUCGACUUCCAAGAAUAGACAAAUGCCUUUGUUAGGCUUCUGUGGCAUGUCUCAAACACAGGCAGCAUGAAACCCUCAGUGGAGGCAGAAGAACUCUUGCCAUUGAGUUGUUCUCUAAAACAUUUGAGCGCAGUCCAAGGGUGACAAAAGGUCAGAAAAUAAUUUCAUUUGAGAGUUUUAAUUUGUUAGACGUAAAAUAAGGCAAUUUAUGUGUUUUUUUUUUUUUUACCUCCCUGUGUCAGACCUCUCUGUUCCUAGAUACACAUUUAUAUUAAAUUUAUGAUUUACAAGCAUCAUGAUAGACUGCCCUUUGCUAGCCUCUUAGAGGGCUCUCAGUCACAAUGAUUCACAUAUGAUCCUUAAUUACAUUUUAAUAAGUUGAUCUUGAGAAAAUAAAAUCUCUAACAACUUAAACCCUGGACUGUCUAAUACGUGAGGUUUUCAUAGAAUAAAACCAAGCACUUCUUUUUUC